rnacentral:rRNA from 1 species
UACGGAGGGUGCGAGCGUUGUCCGGAAUCACUGGGCGUAAAGGGCGCGUAGGUGGUGGCUUAAGCGUGCGGUGAAAGCUCGGGGCUCAACUCCGAGUCGGCCGUGCGAACUGGGCUCACUGGAGCAUAGUAGAGGCAGGUGGAAUUCCGGGUGUAGCGGUGGAAUGCGUAGAGAUCCGGAAGAACACCGGUGGCGAAGGCGGCCUGCUGGGCUAUGGCUGACACUGAGGCGCGACAGCGUGGGGAGCAAACAGG